UACAGAGGUCUCAAGCGUUGUUCGGAUUCAUUGGGCGUAAAGGGUGCGUAGGCGGCGUGGUAAGUCGGAUGUGAAAUCUCGGAGCUUAACUCCGAAACUGCAUUCGAUACUGCCGUGCUUGAGGACUGGAGAGGAGACUGGAAUUUACGGUGUAGCGGUGAAAUGCGUAGAUAUCGUAAGGAAGACCAGUGGCGAAGGCGGGUCUCUGGACAGUUCCUGACGCUGAGGCACGAAGGCCAGGGGAGCAAACAGG
rnacentral:rRNA from 1 species